UCUAAUACCGGAUACAACCACUAGGGGCAUCUCUUGGUGGUGGAAAGCUCCGGCGGUGCAGGAUGAGCCCGCGGCCUAUCAGCUUGUUGGUGAGGUAAUGGCUCACCAAGGCGACGACGGG
rnacentral:rRNA from 1 species